UGCCAGCCGCCGCGGUAAUACGGAGGGUGCAAGCGUUAUCCGGAAUCAUUGGGUUUAAAGGGUCCGCAGGCUGUUUGUUAUGUUAGAGGUGAAAUCCUACCGCUCAACGGUAGAACUGCCUUUAAAACUGGCAAACUUGAGUUAUUGUGAAGUAAUUAGAAUGUGUAGUGUAGCGGUGAAAUGCAUAGAUAUUACACAGAAUACCGAUUGCGAAAGCAGAUUACUAACAAUUAACUGACGCUGAGGGACGAAAGCGUGGGGAUCAAACAGGAUUAGAUA
rnacentral:rRNA from 1 species